rnacentral:rRNA from 1 species
GACAGAGGGUGCAAACGUUGCUCGGAAUCACUGGGCGUAAAGGGUGCGUAGGCGGGUCUUUAAGUCAGGGGUGAAAUCCUGGAGCUCAACUCCAGAACUGCCUUUGAUACUGAGGAUCUUGAGUUCGGGGAGAGGUGAGUGGAACUGCGAGUGUAGAGGUGAAAUUCGUAGAUAUUCGCAAGAACACCAGUGGCGAAGGCGGCUCACUGGCCCGAUACUGACGCUGAGGCACGAAAGCGUGGGGAGCAAACAGG